rnacentral:rRNA from 1 species
CCGGACCUGACUGCUAUCGGAUUGGUACUAAGCCAUGCGAGUCGUUGUAGCAAUACAAGGCGGACGGCUCAGUAACACGUAGUCAACCUAACCUAUGGACGUGGAUAACCUCGGGAAACUGAGAAUAAACCGCGAUAGAUCAUAAUGCCUGGAAUGGCUUAUGGUUCAAACAAUUUAUUGCCGUAGGAUGGGACUGCGGCCUAUCAGCUUGUUGGUGAGGUAAUGGCCCACCAAGGCUAUAACAGGUACGGGCUCUGAGAGGAGAAGCCCGGAGAUGGGUACUGAGACACGGACCCAGGCCCUAUGGGGCGCAGCAGGCGAGAAACCUUAGCAAUGUGCGAAAGCACGACUAGGUUAAUCCGAGUGGUUCCUGCUAAAGGAACCUUUUGUCAGUCGUAAAACCACAGACGAAUAAGGGGUGGGCAAGUCUGGUGUCAGCCGCCGCGGUAAUACCAGCACCUCGAGUGGUCAGGAGGUUUAUUGGGCCUAAAGCAUCCGUAGCCGGCUACGCAAGUCUCCGGUUAAAUCCAACUGCUCAACAGAUGGGCUGCCGGAGAUACUACAUAGCUAGGGAGCGGGAGGGGCAGACGGUAUUCGGUGGGUAGGGGUAAAAUCCACUGAUCCAUCGAGGACCACCAGUGGCGAAGGCGGUCUGCCAGAACGCGUUCGACGGUGAGGGAUGAAAGCUGGGGGAGCAAACCGGAUUAGAUACCCGGGUAGUCCCAGCUGUAAACGAUGCAAACUCGGUGAUGCGUUGGCUUAUGGCCAACGCAGUGCCGCGGGGAAGCCGUUAAGUUUGCCGCCUGGGAAGUACGGACGCAAGUCUGAAACUUAAAGGAAUUGGCGGGGGAGCACCACAAGGGUGAAGCCUGCGGUUCA